rnacentral:rRNA from 1 species
UACAGAGGUCUCAAGCGUUGUUCGGAUUCAUUGGGCGUAAAGGGUGCGUAGGCGGCGCGGUAAGUCGGGUGUGAAAUCUUGGAGCUUAACUCCGAAACUGCAUUCGAUACUGCCGUGCUUGAGGACUGGAGAGGAGACUGGAAUUUACGGUGUAGCGGUGAAAUGCGUAGAUAUCGUAAGGAACACCGGUGGCGAAAGCGGCUCACUGGAUCUUAUCUGACGCUGAGGCACGAAAGCCAGGGUAGCGAACGGG